rnacentral:rRNA from 1 species
AUAUCAAUAAGCGGAGGAAGAGAAACCAACAGGGAUUGCCCCAGUAACGGCGAGUGAAGCGGCAACAGCUCAAAUUUGAAAUCUGGCCCUCGGGCCCGAGUUGUAAUUUGUAGAGGGCGCUUUGGCGUCGGCCGCGGCCUAAGUCCCCUGGAACGGGGCGUCAGAGAGGGUGAGAAUCCCGUCUGUGGCCGCUGGCCUUCGCCGCGUAAAGCCCCUUCGACGAGUCGAGUUGUUUGGGAAUGCAGCUCUAAAUGGGAGGUAAAUUUCUUCUAAAGCUAAAUACCGGCCAGAGACCGAUAGCGCACAAGUAGAGUGAUCGAAAGAUGAAAAGCACUUUGGAAAGAGAGUCAAACAGCAC